UUGUAUUCAGACAGCUACCUCCGGAGUACUCUGUGGCCGUUUCGACUCACCAAAAGUCUUCAUCAGCAUUAUAGAGUUUUUAAGCCGGAUUAAUAUUGAAAAUUAUGUGUUCCAUUCCACGACAUUCAACAACUUGGCUUCAUUGUGUUUGCAGCUGAACAAUGCUUCAUCACAUAAUGGUGCAGAGAUGUUUGUUCAAUGCUUAAAGAGAAGUGAAAAGGUGUCAAAAAUCUGAAUCAGUGUCACAGCAAGCCCGAGACUUUACGAUACAGGAAGACUCCUGAAACAGGUGAUGGGGUCUCCAUGAAACACCAGGGUUGGAACACAUAAAUGACUUCUUGCAGCAGUGUGAGCAGAUCUUAAGAUGCUGUUUUUGCAGAGUGGUUGCUCGCUACCAAAUCAUGUGACGCAUGCAGCAGGAGGCACACAUUAAAAUGGAGGGAAGAGAAUUCCUUGCUGUAAAUUCUGAGUCAACAUUUGUUAGCAGAGGAAACCUUGAUUGGAAACAUGCAUCAGAAACAGACCAACAGUUUCCCAAGAAUGCAAGGUGAACAGCCCAGAAAAGUGCAAUGGAUAACAACAAAGGAGACUCCGCCACACUGCUAGGUAAUACAUUCCACAGUACAGGCACACGUUUCUAGGAUGAAGGGCCAUCACCUGCCAAAAAUAGUAUUCUACGGUGAACUUGCCAUGGGUCAGCGUAAGAGGGGCGCCC